rnacentral:misc_RNA from 1 species
AGUCGUAACAAGGUUUCCGUAGGUGAACCUGCGGAAGGAUCAUUACCGAGUGAGGGUCCCUCGGGGCCCAACCUCCCAUCCGUGUUGUCCUGACACCUGUUGCUUCGGCGGGCCCGCCGUGGUUCACGCCCCGGCCGCCGGGGGGUUCACGCCCCCGGGCCCGCGCCCGCCGAAGACCCCUGGAACGCUGCCUGGAAGGUUGCCGUCUGAGUAUACAAUCAAUCAAUUAAAACUUUCAACAACGGAUCUCUUGGUUCCGGCAUCGAUGAAGAACGCAGCGAAAUGCGAUAAGUAAUGUGAAUUGCAGAAUUCCGUGAAUCAUCGAAUCUUUGAACGCACAUUGCGCCCCCUGGCAUUCCGGGGGGCAUGCCUGUCCGAGCGUCAUUGCUAACCCUCCAGCCCGGCUGGUGUGUUGGGCCGCCGUCCCCCCUCCCCGGGGGACGGGCCCGAAAGGCAGCGGCGGCGUCGCGUCCGGUCCUCGAGCGUAUGGGGCUCUGUCACACGCUUCAGUAGAACCGGCCGGCUUGCUGGCCAUCACCUAUAUUUUUCUCUUAGGUUGACCUCGGAUCAGGUAGGGAUACCCGCUGAACCUAAGCAUAUCAAUAAAGCGGAGG